UCCUCUUCAACGCUGCGUUUCUAUGCUACGAACAGAGAGUUUGUGCGCAAGCACGAUCUCUCGAGAAGCUCGUCUUUUCAGAAUGGCAUAUGAGAAAUUCGGAGUAACAUCUUCACUACCACCCAAUGUCUCCUGCCCUGUGUGGGAUGACGGGUCUGCCCGCGAGGGUCUGGCGUGACUUCACGCUUGCAAUUGGCAUCAGAAAAGCAGGGCCCGCAGCCGUCCUCGUGUAUACCCUUCGGGGGAAGACGGGGUUCUGGACUCGGUGACCCUUUGGGAGAGUCAUUGCGAAGAUUGUGCACAGCACUUGAGUGCGAUACGCAGCGUCUGGGAUCCCGACUGGCUUCGGCUGGGCGGGGGACUUGACAAUUCAAUUCCGAUCAUUCUGUUGAGGA
rfam:Colletotrichum gloeosporioides Nara gc5 unplaced genomic scaffold scaffold510, whole genome shotgun sequence.